UAAUGUUUCAGCAUGUCGUAUACGUACC
rnacentral:sRNA from 1 species